rnacentral:rRNA from 1 species
UACGUAGGUGGCGAGCGUUGUCCGGAUUUACUGGGUGUAAAGGGCGCGUAGGCGGGGGAGCAAGACAGGUGUGAAAUCUAUGGGCUUAACCCAUAAACUGCAUUUGAAACUGUUCUUCUUGAGUGCCGGAGAGGUAGACGGAAUUCCUAGUGUAGCGGUGAAAUGCGUAGAUAUUAGGAGGAACACCAGUGGCGAAGGUGGUCUACUGGACGGUAACUGACGCUGAGGCGCGAAAGCGUGGGGAGCAAAC